rnacentral:misc_RNA from 1 species
AAGUCGUAACAAGGUUUCCGUAGGUGAACCUGCGGAAGGAUCAUUAUCGGGAUUGCCCUCGUGGCUUAACCUGCAACCCAAUGUUUUAACAACCCUUGUUUCUUUGGCGGGUUCGCCCGUCAGAAGAAUUCUCAAACUCAUUAUAAACGUGUCUUCUGAAUAACUAUAAAAUAAAAUUAAAA